rnacentral:tRNA from 1 species
GGGGAACUAGCUCAGUGGUAGAGCGUGUGCUUUGCAAAUGCAAGAAUGCACAAGGUCCUGGGAUCGAUCCCCAGGUUCUCCA